rnacentral:tRNA from 1 species
GCCGCCUUGGCGUAAUUGGUAGCGCACCAAACUUGUAAUUUGGCGAUUACGGGUUCGAGUCCCGUAGGCGGCU